rnacentral:rRNA from 1 species
AUUGAACGCUGGCGGCAGGCCUAACACAUGCAAGUCGUGCGAGCGGCGGACGGGUGAGUAAUUUAUGGGGAUCUGCCUGAUGUAGUGGGAUAACUACUGGAAACGGUAGCUAAUCCCGCCUACCAUCACAUGCACCCAUAUGGGAUUAGCUGGUAGGUGAGGUAACGGCUCACCUAGGCGACGAUCCCCAGCUGGUCUGCGAGGAUGAUAAGCCACACUGGUACUGAGACACGGCCCAGACUCGUACGGGAGGAAGCAGUGGGGAGAAUUGCAAAAGUGGCGCAAGCCUGAUAGAGCCAUGCCGCGUGUAUGAAGAAGGCAUUCGGGUUGGAAAGUACUUUCAGUCGGGAGGCGUUACCGACAGAAGAAGCACCGGCUAACUCCGUGCCAGCAGCCGCGGUAAUAC